rnacentral:rRNA from 1 species
AGCGAACGCUGGCGGCAGGCCUAACACAUGCAAGUCGAACGAACUCUUCGGAGUUAGUGGCGGACGGGUGAGUAACACGUGGGAACGUGCCUUUAGGUUCGGAAUAACUCAGUGGAACUUGUGCUAAUACCGGAUGUGCCCUUCGGGGGAAAGAUUUAUCGCAUUUGGAGCGGGCCGCGUAUGAUUAGCUGGGUGGGGAGGUAAAGGAUCACAAAGGCUACGAGCAGGAGCUAGUCUGAGAGGAGGCUCAGUGACAUUGCGACGGAGACAAGGCCCAAACGGGUACGAGAGGCAGCAGUGGGGAAUCUUGCGCAAUGAGCGAAAGCCAGACGCAGCCAGGGCGCGAGAAUGAUGAAGGUCUUAGGAUUGUAAAAUUCUUUCAACGGGGACGAUAAGGACGGUACCCGAAGAAGAAGCCCGGGCUAACUUCGU